rnacentral:rRNA from 1 species
GAUGAACGCUGGCGGCGUGCUUAACACAUGCAAGUCGAACGGUGAAGGCGGAGCUUGCUCUGCUGGAUCAGUGGCGAACGGGUGAGUAACACGUGAGCAAUCUGCCCCUGACUCUGGGAUAAGCGCUGGAAACGGCGUCUAAUACUGGAUACGAGCUGCGAAGGCAUCUUCAGCAGCUGGAAAGAACUUCGGUCAGGGAUGAGCUCGCGGCCAAUCAGCUUGUUGGUGAGGUAACGGCUCACCAAGGCGUCGACGGGUAGCCGGCCUGAGAGGGUGACCGGCCACACGGGGACUGAGACACGGCCCAGACUCCUACGGGAGGCAGCAGGGGGGAAUAUGGCACAAUGGGCGAAAGCCUGAUGCAGCAACGCCGCGUGAGGGACGACGGCCUGCUGGUUGUAAACCUCUUUUAGCAGGGAAGAAGCGAAAGUGACGGUACCUGCAGAAAAAGCGCCGGCUAACUACGUG